UACGUAGGGUGCGAGCGUUAAUCGGAAUUACUGGGCGUAAAGCGUGCGUAGGCGGUCCCGCAAGUCCGCUGUGAAAGCCCCGAGCUUAACUUGGGAACUGCAGUGGAAACUAUGGGACUUGAAUCCGGCAGAGGGGGUGGAAUGCCACGUGUAGCAGUGAAAUGCGUAGAGAUGUGGCGGAACACCGAUGGCGAAGGCAGCCCCCUGGGCUGAGAUUGACGCUCAGGCACGAAAGCGUGGGGAGCAAACAGG
rnacentral:rRNA from 1 species